UGUCAAUUGGACUUGUCCGAAAGGCAACA
rnacentral:piRNA from 1 species